UGUGCUAGGCGGGGAGGUAGCGGCACCUUGUACCCACAAUCCGCUAAAGUGGGGCUGAAUUCCUGUUUGAGGCGGUAUCGCUUGAGGCCUGCCUUAUAUAAGUGAUGUUGAUCAUCGGGUCCCGUGCGACGGACAGCCGUGAACCCCGUCAGGUCCGGAAGGAAGCAGCGGUAAGCGGUGUAGUUCGGGUGCCCCGGGAGUGCCUGGUGGGAGUUAACUGUAUGAGUAACGCUUGGGAGGUAUUCGUCGAGAACAGGUGCAC
rnacentral:SRP_RNA from 1 species